rnacentral:lncRNA from 1 species
GGCCAGUGAUGGUCUUAAUUUCAUGAAUCGUGAUAUUUCAGAUCAAACACCAUGAUCUUCAAGCUCUUGUUUCUCUCUAAAUAGAAACAUUGAGGAAGAUCCAAGGUUACAUGGGUGAUGUACAUCACCCCAACUUCAUUUUGAUAUCCUUAGUUUUCAUUUUUAUUGAGGUUGAAAUCCCUGCGUGUGGUGGCCAGAAACAGUUAGUUGGUCGGAGAAAAUGGUGGUUUCC